UUUUUUUUUUUUUUUUUCUUUUUUUGGUUUAGGGAGUCUCUGUAUAUCCCUGGCUAUCUGUCCUGGAACUCACUUUGUAGACCAGGAUGGCCUCGAACUCAGAAAUCCGCCUGCCUUUGCCUCCCAAGUACUGGGAUUAAAGGCAUGUGCUCCCACCGCCUGGCUAUAGAGUACUAUUUUUAAGAUCAUUUUAAAGGUGAAGAACUGAAUCACAAGGUAGAUAAUAAGCCCAGAAUCACACUGGCAGCAGCUAGCAACACCAGGAUUCAAGCCCAAACACUUUGGCUUCUGAGCUCAAACUUAACCUGUCUACUUAGGAGGAAGAAACUGACUAAAAGCCUUAAGCACAAGUAGGAAUCUAUGUGGCUCUCUAGAGCUUUGACCAUAGAACACUAGAUCUUGAUACCCAUUAACCACAAAACCAGAGCUCACUAGUUCUCAAGAACAAGAUACUCUCAAAUGAGUCAUUCUGCAAACUUAACACACUUUCUAUAACACGUCCGACCGUGCCUUGGGUCCCUGUCCAGCAUUUCAUCUUUGCAAUGAAGUGUCUCAGAGUCAAGGGGCUGUCUUCUCUUUACCUCCUUAGGCAUCCAACACGGUCUUUGUGUAGAGUGGAUUCUUACCAGUACAUGUGUGCACUAAAUAGUUGCCUUUAGCUACUACAGAAGAAUAAUCUGAAGUGAAAAACUAAAUCAGGUGAGCUUGAAAUGAGUCUGGGAGGCACUAGAUAUGUCCCACUUGCUCUGCAACUCUGUGUCAGGUACUGCCUAAACACUUAACAGGGCAUCCUGUUCAGCCCUCACAGCUACAGUGUCUGGAGAAUUGAUACUGUUGGCUGUAUCAACGGAGAUUAGAUUCUGUUACACUGAUACCUUCCAUUUCGAAUGAAUUCUGGAGAUGUGAGAAGUGGCUGGUGGACGUGUUUGUCUUCUAAAGUUUGGAGGGAAUUAUUUGCCCUGUGGUGUUGCUAAAUCGGGCAUUGUAAACUCUGAUAUGGAAAUGAAAUGAUGCACUUUGUAAUAGUUAGGUUUUUACUGCUGUGAUAAAACACUGUGACCAAAAGCAACUUGGGGAGGAAAGGAUUUCUUUCAGCUCACAACUCUCCAGGUCACACACCAUCACUGAGGGGACCCAGGGCAGGAACCUGAGGGUAGGCAAUGAAGCAGAGGCUAUGGAGGAACACUGCCUACUGUCUUGUUCCUUCACCAGUAGUUUCUCUGGACUCUCUUCAGGGACUCUAGGUUUAUGUGGUCUCAGGCUUCACCUUCUCUCCAUGACCCCUUGAAGCCUGGGGCUUCAAAUGCAUCUGAGGCUGUGCCUUCAAUAGUGGCCUCUCCCAGCUUCUUUUCAGGGACUUCAGCCCUCCCACCCAGUUCCAAGCUUCAGUGUUCUCCAGAACUACUUCAUGCCUUCAAAAACAACAAUGCCUGGGUGACUCUUACAUUAUCAAGCUCAGCUGCCAGAAUGAGAUGCAGCCUUGGGCUGCUCUGUGUGCUGAUCCUGAGGAAACACCUCCCAGAAGAUUUUGCCUUGAUGAUGCUUGUCUCUUCUUACUCACAACCUAUUAUUCCGCUCCAGCUGACAAGUAUAAAUUGUCCAGCAAAGCAAAGGUUUUACUUGAGCAGUUCUUAAUUCGAAAUGUCAAAUGGCCCUGAUAAAGUCUUUAAGGGACUCUUGAACUUCCCUCUGAAACUUCACAAGCGAGGCCUCCAUCAUCUGCACUGCUUUUAGGUUUAUCUUUUGAGUUCCCACAACAGCUCAUUAAGCCCUGAACACUCAACGGCUUUCCUGAUCUAAAGUUCCAAAGUCUUUCCUCAGUCCUCCCUGAAUCAUGGUCGUGUUUGUUACAGCAACACCCCAUUACCCUGGUAUCAAUUUCUAUAUUAGUUAAUUUUUUUUGUCACUAUGAUAAACACCAUGACCAAAAGCAGCUUGGGGAGGAAAGGGUUAAUUUCAUCUUACAACUUGUAGUCCAUCAUCUGGGGAAGUCAGGGCAGGAACCUGGAGGCAGGAACUAAUACAGAGGCCAUGGAAAAGUGGCCUGCUCAGCCUGCUUCCUGACAGCAUCCAAAACCACCUGCCCAGGGGUGACACCACCCACAGUGACCUGAACUAAGAUAAGGCCACAUCAGUCAUCAGUCAAGAAGAUGGACCACAAGCCAAUGGGUGAGGAUGUUUUCUCAGUUGAGAUUCCGUUUUCUGAAAUGCCUCUAGCUUGUGUCAGUUUGACAUAAAAACUAAGCAUCACACACAUGAGAAAAAGACGUGAAAGGGAAGAGCAACUUUAGAAAAAUAAAUAAAAGGACAUCAAAGGCCCCAGCUGAGUGAGAUGCCAGGUUGACUUUGUACCUCUUGACCUUGACGACACUCCUGACUACAUUUUAUCCGUGUGGAAACAGAGGCUGCAUGGGGCUGAGGUAUAGCCAUGGUUGCCACACAGCCCCACAAAGAGCAAGGCCAGAAUCAGAACCAGACUGACCUCAAGCCUACAGCAGGUUCUGUGCUGCUGUUUCUGUGUUCCAUCCAUGGUGUGGCCAUCUUGAAGCCCGGUGGAAAUUGUUAGAAAGGCAAACUGUUGGGCUCCAUCCAGACCUGCAAAAUCAGAAGGUGAGAUAGAGGCAAUGCCUUCAGACGCCUAGAAAAUUCCAGUGGGUGUUCUGGUUUGAGAACUACUGUUUAGCUGAAAGAACUGGUGAAGACCAGACCCAACUUAAAACAAAACCUUACAUUGGUUUUGUUUCAUCCUCUUGUUAGAAAAGGGGCUACAUGUUUACUGGGAAAAAAAAAAGUAUUGAAGAGAGAUUUCUUAUUCAAUUUCCUUUUACCAUGUUCUAUACAAUACAGCUGAGAGAGAGAGAGAGAAUGUAGUGUGAUGUAUGUAAGGCUUUUUUUAUGUUAACAUGUUAAGAGGCACUCAUGCACAUAUUUAAUUCCAAAUUGUUGUGGAUGUUGUCUAUCUAUCUCCACCUUAUCUACUGAGGCUGAUAGCUCACUGAACCCGAAGCUUGCCACGUUUGCUGGACUGACUAGGCAGCCUGCUCUGAGGAUUCCCUAUCUCAGCCUCUACUUGCUGAUUACAGAUGGGUCACCGAACCCACACAGCUUCCACAUGGGUCCUGGGGAUCCAAGCUGCUGUCCCAGAACUUGCAGGGAAAGCACUUUACCCACAAAGCCAUCUCCCGAGACCACAUAAACACAUUUUAAACCAUGUUGGAUUGUGUUGUAUAUAAUCUGUUUCAUAUUUAUGUAUUUUGUACAUUUUUGAGUUUUCCAUGUCAUUUGAUAUUCUCUAAAAGCAGUACUUUAGUGGCUGCUUAGUCAUUCUCUCACUAUGCAAUAUUUUUGUUUCAUUUUAAGAUGUUGCUGUUAUAUAUAUACACACACAACUAGAAUGAAUAUCCCUUUGUUCACUGCUUUUUUUCCCGUAAGGCAGCUGUUUGGUAAAUAAAAUAUCUGUCUAAAAGU
rnacentral:lncRNA from 1 species